rnacentral:rRNA from 1 species
GUCCACGCCGUAAACGAUGAGUACUGGGUGUCGCGGGUAGUUGACCCCUGCGGUGCCGUAGCUAACGCGUUAAGUACUCCGCCUGGGGAUUACGGUCGCAAGAUUAAAACUCAAAGGAAUUGACGGGGGCCCGCACAAGCGGUGGAGCAUGUGGUUUAAUUCGACGCAACGCGAAGAACCUUACCUGGGCUAGACAACGGUGGACCUCCCCAGAGAUGGGGCUUUCCCUUCGGGGACUGCCGGUUCAGGUGCUGCAUGGCUGUCGU